AGAAACGAGGAAAGCCACAAAAAUAAUUGGAUGGGAAUGAGAAACUUGCAAUGACUCCUCAAAAUUGAUCAGAAUACAGAGACAGUACUCAUAAAAGUGGAGGCAAGAGAGCAGUACCUUUGGAGUUGGAUUCUUUGAGGCAGAUUAAAUAAAUGCUCAGAAGUGAGAUAGAAAGAAACCAAAGGGAAUGUAUCCCUUUCUAAACUUUUUCAAAUGGCUUCACGGUGAUGAGUAUGGUAUGUGAAAUCACUUGCUGUUUGGAGACUUCUGGAUCCUCACUUGUUAUGUUAAGCUACAAAAUAAAUUUUUAACAUGACCUCUGAAUUUUUCAAGCCCUAGUUUGUAUAGUUUGUAUAAAGAAAAUGCAGAGUGAUUACUUUUAUUGUUCCAGUGUUUCUAAAUAAAAAUAUAUGUGCAUAGAGAGGGGAGAGCAAAAAUGGGAAGAUGUGCAAAAUUAUUGAUAGAUUUUAGAGUGCUCUUCUAGUCAAUUGCUCUAAAUUGGUGUGAUUGAAUGGAGUGGCCCAUAUCUAAGUGAGGUAGUCUUGAUUUCAGGCUUAUUUGUCCCCAGAUCAGAAGAGAACUUUGAGAUUAUCACCAUGAGUAGUAGCUAAAACUUUUGCUGCCAAGGAUUAUUGCAGAGCCAUAGGAGAAAGCCUGGAUAAGAAUAAGUCCAAACUUAUCACAUUUGGCUCUGAAAGGAAGGACAAUCUGCAGAACAUAUCCUAGAAAGGAUGUGACUAGGAAGAUGACUGCCUGAAGAUGUGCCCUCCAGAAACUCACAGAUCAUGGGAGUGUGGGAGAAUGAUAAGAGGGAACAUGACUAUGAAAUGUGUUAAACAUUUUAA